CGUUAUUCUUGUUGAUUUUCUGUUUUCUUUUUUUUGUGUAUUUUUACUUGUUUUUUUCGUUAACCUUUUUCGUUUGCUUUCACUUUCGCCAAAGUUGGCAACACAAAAAUGCAAAAGCACCAGCUGCAAAAAUGUCGUGCGGCGCAUAAAAUUCACUUGAGCGAGUGCUGCCGAGAAAGUGAGCGAGAGGAGAACGGAGAGAAGAGAGGGGGACGGAAGCGCAGCAAGUGUUUGCCCAAGACAUAAAACAUUGUCGCAGCAUAAGAUGACACUUUCAAGCGGAGAGCGAAGGAGGCACAACGAGUGCACUUCCAAUCCCAUAAACUAUUCAUCAUGUGUGUGCAGAUAUACAUAUAUAUUCAUGAUCCAAACAGCAGCCGCAGAAGCAGCAACAGCAACAGCAGCACUAGCAACAGUCGUGUCGUGUUAGACGUGGCAGACAACAUGAGCGACAAGUAGACAGACAGAUUGAGAGCUAUAGACGGGAAGCGCAUGGAGACACAUUCAUUGCUCAGAACGUGUUGAGUGCCUCGACAUUUGCAGCCUGCAUUUGGAUUAUUUGUAAGCUAUGUAUAAUCAUAGUAGGUUCAUUGCACGGACGCCACUGUGAUCUGCAGCUACCUAGAGAAAGCAGUUUGUACUGUGAUGUUAGCAAGCAG